rnacentral:lncRNA from 1 species
CUGGCAGUGAAAUAAUGGGUGUCUAUAUAGAAUGAAAUUCAAAACAGUGUGGCUGUGGCCAUUGGUUGACACAUUAAAUUCAUCCAUUGACUGGGACAAUUUACGUGAACGUUUGUCUGUAACGACCACUGUUCACGACGUACCUACGAUAGACAUUUAAACUGUGGGGUCACCAAGGUUUCUUAACGCCUUUAAUUAUAAAAUAAUUCGAAAAAUUAAUCAGAAAUAACCUAUAUG